CGCGCUCUCUGCCUCUCUCUCUCUCUCUCUCCUCUUUGAUAGCAAUCCAACCCGGGCUGGCUGGUUCUCAGAUUCUCUCUGGUUUUGCCUUGUGUGCUUUGGAUUGUACGAGACUUUGCAGAAGUUGCAAUCGAUUCGCAGUCCCUCUCUCCUCUCCCUACCCCCUUGUUUAUUUCCGCAAUCGCUGCAAUUUGCAUAGUAACCACGCACGAGGCGCCGGCGGCUGCCUGCGGAGGGGGCCAGGAGGGGGCAGGGAAAAGGCCUUGCCCCCUUCUCCCCUCCUCCCGUCUCUCUCCCCGCCAGUCUCCACCUCCCCCAUGGUGCGUGGCCAAUAGGAGCCCCGGCAUUCAGCGCAAGCUCCGGUCGGGACACCGUUCGGAAGAAAAGCCCCUGUGUUACUAGGCCCUGCUCGCAGGAUCCUGUUUUUGGCGCGACUAGCCCUUGGUGCAGUGGUGGUGCGGGGAAGACGACGCUAAAGGAAGGGAGUGUCCCUUUAAAUGGAAAGCAUCACAACCAGGGCUAUUGCGUUUGUUUGCUCUGCGUCAGUUAAGUAGCUUUGGACAUUUUGCUGAAUAACUGAGUUACAGGAAAAUGUGUGCUUAGCUCACUUGAUAAAAAUUAUCCAAUAAGAAGUCAAGAGGAAUAGGAAGCAACCUGGCAGUUGUCUGAUUUUCUUAACUGUCCUUGGUGAAGGUACCUAUUAAUUAAUAACAGGACCUCGCACGGUUAAAUUAGAGGUUAGAGAAACCUCCUAUUUUGUUUUGAACCACAUUUUUGGCUUUAGGCUUGCACUUUACAACAAGCUAACUGAUGCAGCAUUACUGAAAGGUAUGGUACUGUGGCCACGGGUGGUGGUAGACAAACUUUGCUGUUCUGCUCUGCCUCUUAACAGAUUUAGAGACUCUUGCUCAGAAAGUCUGUGGCAUUUAAUCCUGGCCCCUCCACUGAGCAUCCAUUUCAACUUGGCAUACUACUUUCACUCUAGAAAUACACUUAAUGGGUUGUAGUGGCUUAAGUAAAAAGAAAAAAAAAUUUUUUUUAAGUAACCCAAAAAACUUCUAGGCAUUGUUCAGCUGGUGCUAGGCUGUGUGACCUUGAGAUGGUUACAUAACACCUGUAAAAUAGGACAUCAACCUAUUGUGAGAGUGGAGGAUUGUUUUGUCAAGAGCUAAGAGCCUUUCAAAUGCACAAGAGGUAUCAAUUUAUAUUGCAUUGCUCCGGUAGAUGCCAUGGUCUGAAUACUCUCUAAUGAUAAGCAAGUCACGCCCUGUUAGUAGGUGGUAACAGUGACUUUUGGGUUUGCAUCUGUAGUUCAUUAACUCAAUUUAAUGUGGUAGGCUAUCACCAUUUCCAAAGUGACCUUUUAUAUCUCCAUCUAGUCAACAACAGCAUAGUAUAGGCUUUGGAGUCCAACUUAGGUAUUAAUGUUGGUCCUACUAUGUGACUCCAGACAAAUUAUUUAACCUCUGUAAGAUUUAGAUUUCUAGUAUGGAAAAUGGGAGCUCUUCAGAUAACAUAUGUAAUUUACCUAGUACAUUAGGUGUGCUCAAUAUAUUGUAGCUAUAGUAAUACCACUAUUACUGUUUAAUAUGUACCAUAUUCUAGGCACAUUGAAUGUGCUAAGAGCUGGAGACACAGAGAAGACAUUGUCCCUGCCCUCAAGAAGCUUUCAGUCCCAUGGAAGAGACAAUACCCCAAAAUAAAUAAUAAUGUAAUGUGAUCCAUCCUUCUUAUCUUGGACACACACCACAAUCAACUACAGGGGUGCCUGAAGACCACAGAUGAUGUCACGCAACUGAGCUGCUAGGAGAGUCGGAGAGAGGAAGACUGUAUCUUGACUGCAGCCAUGGGUGCGAAGGAUGAGUGUACAGUUCACAGAAGGAAGCUAAAAGGGAGCUCAGAGGUCUCCAAACACCACAUUUUACAGAUGACAAAACUGAAGCUAGCAGCAGAGUGAAGUAACGAGCUCGUGGGCACACAGCUGGUGAAGAAUUAAUCCCUAGUCCAGUGCCAGUUUCAUUCCAUCACGCAGGGGAUAUUUUGCAGGAAUGGGAAACAAGGGAAUAACUACCUCUGGUAUCAAAGUUGAAAAGAGGCCUGGGCAAGUGAAGAAACAGUGAAUCUGAUAGGAGAGAGAAAACGGUUAAUCAUCUAAACCAAAGGGAUGGCUAUAAAAUUCAGGCUGGUACCAGAAAGAUUUACCCAAACAUGUUCAGACAGUUAAAGGAUAAUUUUCAGGAAAAAUAAGGUAGGGUGGGGAUGAAAGCACUGGUCUAGAACUGUAACUUGGUGUUAAGAACUGUGAGCUGAACUGGUUCUCUAUUCUCUGCUGCUUGUGGCCUUGGGCAGUUCAAUCUCUCCCUGGGUGGUUUCCUUCUCAGUAAAAUGUAAAUAUCAUCAGCCCCACUUCCUGGGGUUUUGAUAGGAUUCAAUGAAAUCAUGAACGUGAAACUGUUACAAAUUUAGGUUUCUCUUCCAUGAAGGCCUAUACCACCAACUGGUUUCUAAUACAGCACAGAAUAAAGAAUAUAGAUAGUUGUAUUUAUCCAAAAGGUUUUAUUUAUUUUUUUAAAAAAAGAUUUUAUUUAUUUAUUUAUUUAUUUGGGAGA